UACGAAGGGGGCUAGCGUUGCUCGGAAUCACUGGGCGUAAAGGGUGCGUAGGCGGGUCUUUAAGUCGGGGGUGAAAUCCUGGAGCUCAACUCAGAACUGCCUUCGAUACUGGCGAUCUUGAGUCUGGGAGAGGUGAGUGGAACUCCGAGUGUAGAGGUGAAAUUCGUAGAUAUUCGGAAGAACACCAGUGGCGAAGGCGGCUCACUGGCCCGGUACCGACGCUGAGGCGCGAAAGCGUGGGGAGCAAACAGG
rnacentral:rRNA from 1 species